GGUUAGUUUCCAUGCUGGGGCCCGAUCCUGUAUUCCCUGUCCGACCCAAAUACAAGCGAGCGUGGAGUUCCAUGAACUCCGGUUUAAUGAACUCCACCAGUAUCCUAGGUGCGCGAGGAAUGCGGGAUCGGGCCCCUAGCAGUCCUGUCGGUGCAGGAGGCAGCCUCGCUCCACGAUUUCCAGCUUUUUGUGGUUAGCAAUAUUAUCUUAAGUAACUUUUGGCGCCCUUCGUAAGACUUUUGGACGUGGGACGAUUGUUUGCGCCCUCUAGGCAGAGGCUGCAUCCAAGUUCAGCACCAAACCCCUUCACAUCCGCGUUCUCGACUCCAGCACGCAUUGUGCACGCUUAAACUCUAGGAUCCUGAGCCUACAGAAAAGGAACCACGGACGCACAAGGAGGAGGGUGAUGCACGCACGGGGCCCACCCUUGGCCAAUGGCAGCUCCUGGAUUUCCCAUCAACGCGAGCUCCAGGAUCCAGCUCGAGCUGCAGCCGCGCCCGGGACAGAGGGUCCGCGUACAGUAGGCCCCAGCCCAGCAGCAGCAGCGGCAGGCGGGAGGAAGAGGAGCGGGGUAUAUCCGUACGCAGUGCAAGUCCUUUCUGCAGGCGGACAUUGGGAUGGGGUCUAAGGAGAUGGUUUGCUGCGUGCUGUAGUGCGGGUGUCCGCCUCGCAGCGGAUCCUCUCCCUUUAAAAGCAAACAAACCCUACCGCUCUUUGCAAGUUACUUUAGUUCAAGGAGACUGGCCGGGAGGUCGGCAGAGCCAUUUGCACUGGGUGGGGUAAAGUUCCUCUUAAAUGCAUUAAAACUGCUGAGUUCAGAAAUCAAAUGCAACCAAACAAAAGGAUUCUAAUUCGAACUGUGCCUGUCCUCCGAACUGUUGGGAAAUCUGAAGGUGGGGGUGGGUUAUCAUUACAGUCGUGGAUAAUGGUAAUAGCAGCCAUCGAAUUCCUGGCUGUAAAGUAUUCAACUUCUGCAGCACCCCAAAAAUAGGCCUGGUGUCACCCUUGCAAGUCGUUGUGUCUGUUAACUAGCUUUGGACACGUUUGCAGGAUAACCCUGAUAUCUACAACUCCUAAAAUACAAUCUGCUAAACUUAAUUUUAAAAAAAUCUCCAAAGAGGGCAUGAGAAAUAGAAAGCUACCAGUCAGUUGUGUGUAGCUUUGAAUCGUAGAACCACAAGGUUAAAAGGGAUUGCAACGGUCAUCUAGCCUAACCCCCAACUAUCCUUGACGAUGAAGAGGCUUGUGUAAUUAACAGCAGACAGCAAAAGCAUUGCAUCAUGUAUUGGAAGCUUGAGAUCUCUUGACGUUGCAACAUCCACAAAAAAAAAAAAAAAAAACCAAACAGUUGAUAAUUUCUGGAACUUUAUAAUUAUUUUAAUAGUACAGUGUGGCCCUUUAGCUGAAUAAGGACUGCUGGGGUAUCAUGGUUACCCCAAAAUAUUUAAUACUAUUAAGUGGAUGAGAUUAGAGCUUUAAAGAUCGAUGAAGUGAGCUGUAGCUCAUGAAAGUUUAUGCUCAAAUAAAUUGGUUAGUCUCUAAGGUGCCACUAUUACUCCUUUUCUUUUUGUGAAUACAGACUAUAAUGUUAACUAAAGUUGGUGAAUAAAGAUGGUAGCUACUGGUUAGCAUAAACUUCUCUUAUUUAGUGAGGGGCUUUUUUCAGAUGGUUCCUAUUAGCAAAUCUUCAAAUGAUGAAAUAUUGUCUGCAGAUUAAAUUAAACCAUCUAUGUUUUACCCAUGGCCGCUUGAGAGCAUUGUUAAAAGAAACAUGACAAAGGAUUGUCUGCUAUGUUAUCAAGAGUUAUCAAAGAAUACUCUCAAUACAUUUCAAGUGGCUAAAGAAGGAAGCAGUGCCACUCAGGUUUGGCCUGUCUGCCCUGAAGGAGAUGAAGGGAGCAUGGGCCAAGCCCUUGCUUUGACUCCAUACACCAGGCUGACCAGGCUGCAACUUGCUUUGUGGCUCUUUGAAACUGGGGGGGGGAACUGUUCCCUCCCUGGUGGCCCUGAAUGUUCUGCUUCGACUGGGAUUGGGGCAAAGCGAGACUGUCCCUCCCAAAACCAGGAUUGUUGGAACGUCUGUAGAUGGGCAGGUGUGCGAUAAUGACGUUGGAGGUAGAACAUGUUGAGUUUUUGGAAAGGAGGUGGGUCACAUAAGGGGGAAUUUAGACAGAAAACAAUUAGGUUUUUAUACAGCAUGGCAAUAUUAACAUAAAACUAAUUAAGUAUUUAAGUAAUUUUAAAUUAGUAUUGUGAUCAUUAGAGGCCUGAUCCUCCAAUGUGCUGACUACCUUCUUCAAGGUUCUGAGCAUACUCAACUGCCCUGGACCCCCAACCUUCCUAGGUGCUGACCACCAUCUGAGAAGCCCUGGACACUACUGACUCCAACUCACACCGAAGUCAAUGGGAACUGAGGGCGCACAGCUCCUCUCAGAGUCAGGACUUUGGGGCCUAUAUGCAAGCCCACUGAAGUCAAUAGAAAGCCUCCAAUUGGGUUAAGAUCAGUUCCUUAGAGACUUACAUGUACUCUGUAGAGCUAAAUCCUCAGCACUUACUCUACAGCCCAUAAUUUGAUGUGUACCAUGAGGCAUUUCUUAUUCCAAUAAAAAUAUUGUGUGUGGUGGAGGGAAGCUGUUAGAUAUUGACUGGGUUGGCAUUACCCUUUCCCCCAGUUCUAUCAUUUGUAGCACAAAAGAUACUUCAAAAAAGGCUGACAAUACCCAUCUACUAUGAUACUUUCUUGGUGUGUUCAUUUCUGUUGUUUUAGAAGAAGCUGAAAAUAAGAUCACAGUCUGUGAGCUCAUUUGGGCAUCAUAGGCCCUGAUCCCCAAUUUGGGGAUUUUUAUAAUAUAAAUUAUAAAAAUUUCUUAUGGAAGUGGUAUAUAACCCUUAAACAGCAGGAGAAGCCUGCAGAGACAGUAAACUGACAAGCUCAACUGUUUUAGAUUAAAUGAAUGCAUACAUAGGUUUGAUGGAAAUCUGAUGCCAAAAUACUAAUUUAAAAUUACUUAAUUCCUGUGAAUAAUAAAUUUUCACAUAUGCAGCUUUCUAAUUGCCUUGGAUACAUACAUAGCGCCAUCAUCCUAGUACUGCAUAAUCUUUAAUGUAUUCAUCCUCACCACACCCCUGGAAGGUGGAGAAGUGCUAUUAUCUCCAUUUUAUAGAUGGGAAACUAAAACUAAGAUCCUCAAAGUUAUUUUAGGCUUCUGCAUCCCACUGAAGUCAAGUGACUUGUCCAAAGUCAUACAAGAAGUCUGUGGUAGAGGAGGGAAUUGAACACAGGUCUACUGAAGUCCUAGGCUAGUGUUCUAACCAUUAGUCCCUCCAGCCAUGCUAAAACUUUCCAGUUUACAUUUUCACUAAUCCAAUCUUUGUUCUCCAGCAUAUUGGUGGGGAAAGUCCAUUUUGCUCCUGGUUCUAGCUGAUCACUGAAAAAUUCUGCAGAUUUUUCCAGAUGAGUUUAUACUUUUAUGUAUUGCAAGUUAUACAGAAAUAGCAACUUACAAUUAGAUGGGUUCAAACUAAUGAAAGGAAGAAAACAGCAAUCAGAGACAGAGAUCCAGAAUAAUCAUUUUCUUUCCUUAUUUGAUUGUAGUGUUUACAAUUUAAUAAAUAGUGUUUCAGUUUAAAUAGUACUUUGAAAACAGGAUUUGUUUUGAAACCUACAACCUACAAAGUUCAUAGUGAAAAUGGUUUUGAUUUAACAAGUUAAAGAUGUAUUACUGACAGACAAUUGUUAUUAUUAUUACUAUUUUAUUUGUAUUGCAGUAGCACCUAGUCAGAGAUCAGAACCACGUCUUAGGCAUUGUUCAUAUAUGUACUAAAAAGACAGUCCCUGCCCCGGUAUGGUGCAAACCAUCAUCCUGCUUGUUAAACUACUAGGCCACAAACAUUACAUGUAAAGUAACAUACAGAAACUUUUUUUAUUCAGACACACUGUAUUAUUCCAUUUUCUCCUCUUUAUCUAAAACCGACAGACAUCUUUCUCAAGGGCAGUAAAUGACUCUGCAGUGGUACUGAGUGAUUACAGUCUCCAGUUCUGAUACAGCUUUCUUUCCAAAUCAAGUUCAGCAUAAAUAAUAGGUCUCAUAAUUUUGGACCUAAUCCUGCACUCUUCAGUAGUCAUUUUGCUCGAGUAAGGAGUGUAGGAUCAGUCAAAUUAUGAAAAUACUGUUAUGAGAUACCUACUAUAUAUUUUUAUACAUGCACAUUUUUGUGUCCAUGACAAUAUACUUCCCAAACUUAAUCAGUUUGUUUACUUUUGUUACUAUUUUGCUACCACAUGAAAACAGCCCAUUGAAUAGUAGUAUCUAUGAAUCUAUGAAUAAAGUGAUUUGUCUUGUGUUCACUUACUACAUACUGAAUCUGACAUUUAAUAGCUGAGGUGAAAAUAUGGUUUAGAAGAUGUUAAUUGAAUGUAGUGGAAUAAGAUUAACACUCAGCAACUGCAGUAUACUUUAUAGAAAAGUUAUGACUUAGAGAAAAUGGGGAGUAUAAUGAAAGACUCCUCACAACUUUUUUUGAUACCACACGUAGAAUGCUUUCCUCUAUUGUCCAAUGUUGAACUUUUUUUCUUUGUGAGCAACAAAGUUUAAAAUUAAGACGAGUCAGAUGAUAUUUCUCAAACUGCAAUAAUUAGUGAUCUGUUUAAGUACUAUGUUUGUUCCUUGUAUUUUUCUUUAUUACAAAUAAGUCUGUAAAAUACGAGCACCCUACUUUUCAGGCAAAAUCUCUCCUAACUUUGUGCAUGGGGGACAGUGAUUGGGCAUGAAGAAUCUCGGCAUGCUAACAUCUGACCUUUCAGUAUUAUUGUUUCUGGUACUGUGUAUGUUGAAUGAUGUCUGUCUGCAAAUCACUCCAAGAACUAGAGAAUGUAUGAGGCCUUUAUUUAUCAAAAUAGUGUAAUCCAUCAUAUGAGGUAAGUGUCCAAAUAAGGGGUAAGAAUGUGUGUCAGUGGAAAGCUGAUCAUUUUCCUAAGAUGUAAAGAGAACUUAAAAAUCUAAGAGCACAAAAGUUUUGUCAAUAUUAUUCUGUAUUUUUCUCUGUUAUGUACUCCUUCAAGCCCAAAUUAAAUCUCCCCUAAAUGUGAAAAUAUUAUAUGCAAGUUGUAGAAUUCACUCUAGGGAAGACAGAAACUUUUCUAUGUAUAGAGUUUCACUUUUUAUUUUAAAACAUUUUAACCAAGGAAGCGCUUGUGAUUAAAAUGUUAAUACUGAUCUUCAGCUUUGAUUAUUAAAUUGAAAUGUUUACUUGCUGCUUUUUGUGUGUAUAGGAGCUAGGGCUUCUGUCAGCAUGUGCUCCAGCUGAAGCAUUUUCCAGGUUUUCUAAACAAGUAAACUAUAUGAUCAAGUUUAACUAGCGGGUUUUUUUGUUUGUUUGUUUGUUUUGCCUCCUGCUUCGCUGUUCAGAAAGUGGAAAGGUUUUGUAUAACAGCUAAUAAAUGCAUUAGCUUCAGCAUCAGGACAUUUUUCAAGUCUUCAUUACUGUAAUUCUGAGACCUGCUGCAUUAUGAGUAUUGGCAAUCUAGAUCCCUAGUUAUGGGCAACAUGGGGUAAGGUAGGAUCUUUCUGCACAUGUUGCUUUAUUUUGCUGAAUAUAAGAUUUCUUCUGAAAAAAGUAAGUUUGUGGUUGUAGAGCUGUUGUAAUCCAUGAUGUACUUACCUUCUGGAAACAGGCUGAAAUAGCACUAGAAAAGGAGAGAAUUUCUUCUAUUCAUCAUAAAGCGGUGUUAACUUCCAUAUCAAGUUGGGACAAUUGCAGUGCUAACACUAUUAGCAAUGAGAUGCAAUACAAACACACUGAAAUGUGAUUAUAAAGUGACAAAUGAAUCCUGGUUUUGUUCAUUUGUUUUUGGUUCUGUUUGUACUCCUGUAUACAAACACACAUCACAACAGGGGAUGCAGUUAUUCUGUGUAAAUGCAGUGAACUUUUUUUUUUUAAAUGUAGCUUUUUCUAAAGCUCUGUUCACAUCUUAUGAAACAGGUGUAUUGUUAGAAUUUCAGUUUACCCAGUUUGCAUAAAUCAAAUAUAGUAUAAUUUUCCAUUUAGAACAUGGAAAAGCUCUGCCUGCAGAUUCCCCACCCCCCUUGGCAGGAAAUAAGCAUUUCCCUACAGAUGUAUUUUUUUAAUCCUCUUCAGAUUUGGAUUGUCCCUAACUGUAGAAACUCUAGUAUCGAAACAGAGCUGCUCCUUUGCAAUUUGUUCUGCACUUAAACUCUCCUAAUGCCACAAAUAAACUUUGGGAAAGUUAUAUCACAGUAAACAGUGAGGUGUGGUUUAAAAUUAUAUGUGCUACUGUAUUAUUAGGUCUCUGCCGACAUUGCAAUUAUCAUUUGAAGCUGGCAAUACCAUAUUAGCUGUUUAGUCAGAGACAGAAAUAGAGGUAUGUAUAAACACUCUGACAUUUUUAUGAAUGGAAGGUAUUUUUCGAGAUUUUUUUCCCCACUUUCUUGUUUGUCCCGUAUACACCAGGACCUAUAUCUUCCAGAAUCCUUGUAUAUGUCACUUUAAUAUUCAGACACAAUCAAUACAAAACGGAACAUGAGUCAUUGUUACCCCGUUCCACCGCCCCAGACAAAUCGUAUACUUCUUUUAUUAGCUAGUCAGUCCUCAAUCUUAAGAAAAGUAAGUACCCAGAACCGUUGGCUUUUAUUUGCACAUACGGGAGGUAAACCCUCGGACUGCAGUAGCCGCCCUAGCAUCUGCAUCGCUGGAAAUAACAACAGCAUACAACUGACAUUGACCGUGGUGCUAGACACUGUACACAUCACAAUUUUUAUUCGACAAUUGAUUUCGCGGCAGGGAUGGUUUUAACUCCUCCGAGUAAAGGCACAAAGAGCCAGAAUAAAAAUGAUCACUACGAAAAAAACAAGCGUUGUAUAUGUCUCUCUCUCUCACACACACACACACACCCCCGCCGCUUCCCCCUCUCUUGUACUCUCAUGAAUCGGUGGAGAAGGGGAGGGGGGAAUAAAUGGUGUUUAAAAAAAAUUCAUAGUCUCAUAACCUGCCAAGUCUGCCUUCCCAAUUAUUCAUGAAGUCAGUGGUAGCCAUUUUCAUUUAAGGUACAGAAAAAGGAAGGGGGGGGGCGAAUAAAAGGUCAUGAGAAACCCCCCAAAACAAACAAAACGAGCCGGAGGUAGAGCCGAAUCCACAUUCAUCCAGUGGUUGUUCUACAGUCAAUUCAUUUCGAAUUGCUGCGCCGCACUGAGCUUGCUGGGGGGGGGGGGGGGGAAUAAUCAAUCCGUGCUGUGCCCCGUCCUCCACCAGCCGCUGCUGCUGUUGAUGCAGAGGUUAGCAGCUGCAUCGUGGUGGUGUUGUGAUUUUUUUUUUUUUUUUGCCGCAGUCUACGUCCAUCGUAUAAACCAACACGCAUUGAGAUGAAUAAUGGAAGUACAGUACUGAAGACAGCCAAGCUGAUUUAUCACAGCGAAUCAUUCACUGCUCCAGCCCCAGCUCUCAAUUAUGCCACUUUACAUCACUCACUGACACACACACACACAGAGAUAAGAUAUUUGUGGCCAGAUCUGAGCCAAACACAGCGAGAGAGAGAGAAAGAAAGAAAGAAAGAAAAAUCCGGAUUGUUGAAUAGAGGGAAGUGGGAAGUAAAAGACAAAAAAAAAAAAAAAAAAAGGCUCUUUCCCCCCUAGCAUGGACAAACGCCCUGUAAUGCAGCGUGGAAGAAAAUAAAGUCUGAACAAAACUAGACGGUGAGACAAGCACGUAGGAGAGGGUGAAACUGACGUUAACGCAGACUCCAUGGGAAUCUGGUCACUGGGAAGCAAAACACGCUCUCCUUUGCUCGCUCUCACACCGUUUCCAAAAGACACGCACUAGGACUGAGUUCCGACGAAACGUGGCUUUCAAAAUAUCCACACGCCGGACACGCUGCCGUUGAGGUUUCUUUGGAGAACGCCUGGUGGGGAAGAGAGACCAGGGAGGCAUCUGCACUGCAAACUAUUACCCAGCACCACUCCUGAGGGACUGGGAAACUGCUGCAUACUGACUGCUUAUCGCAAUGCACAGGGUCUGAUCCUGAGGCCAAACUGCAGAGAAGUCAAAGGAAGUUUUACCGGAGUAGACAGCAACAUGAGACAUGGAUAUUUACACGAUUCAAAAGGAUUUGGAGAUGAGGGGGAGGGAGGGGAAAAAAGUAACAUUCUCCUGAGAAAAUGAAUGACACAUUUCUCACUACUAGCAACCCAACUUUUCCAAGGAAACCAGCAGCCCUCCUCAUUCAUCAGUGUCACUUUUCAAUGGCUGCUCUGUUCGCAAUGGAUUUGUAAUGACCAGAAAAAUUCCAGUGACCUUCAAUCAACGCUUCAGUCUUUCCCAAGACUGGUUUAUGUUUAUUUAAAGGAAGAGAUGCUUUUUCUUGCAGAAAAUAACAAUAUUUGUAAAGAAGAAAUAAAUUAUUAAUAAAAUGAAGGGUAAGUGGGUGGUUUGGAUGUUAGAGGACAUACUGAUCUAGGGAGAUAGAUCUUCAGAUGGUAUAAAUUGGUGUAGCACCAUUGACUUCACAUGUCAGUUUAAAUCCGGUGAGCAUUUAGUCCAGCAAAUCUUAACCUAUGGGUCAUAUCCUGCUACACUUGCUCACCUUAACAGUCCUUAAUUAUCUGAGUAGCUCCACGGAAGUCAAUGGGGCUACUUGUGUGAGAGUAAAAGUUGCAGGACCAAGCUCCCUGUCUGGAUUUUCAUUGUUAAUCUGUUUUGUUCUGGGGAUCAAACAUAUUGCACAUUUCUGAAUGUUAAUUUUCCAUUACUUUAUAUUUAUCACCUGUUUCGUUUCAUCAGUGGGCACUGUGGCUGAGUGAGUAUUUGGCUCCACUUGGAAAAAACAUUUCCAGUUAUUUUCCAGAUGGAUAUCAUGGCACAUGCAUGAAUGUGGGAAAUAUGCUUAUAGUUCUAUAAACAUUUUUAUAUUUCUCAUAUAACAGUAUAUACAUUGUUAUAUAUGAGAAAAGUGUUUAUAUAUUAUAUAAUAAUCUCUGACUAAUGGUAAAAUGAACCACAGAUCCGUCAACACUGAUUUUCUAGAAGAGGCAAGUUCUGCACCUUCGUGUGUGUGCACAGAUUUGUGUAAUAUUUUUGUUAGGUCUUCUGGGAUCAUUUCCCUCAGCCCCGUAGAAAAAAUCUUUUCAUGCAAAAUCUCAGACAUUCUGAUCUGAAGGAACACUUUAAAUCUAUUCCGUACAAAUAUUUCAUGUCAACUUCAUUGCGUGACUUAUCUCUUAGGAGAAAAAUUUUCCCACCCCAAACUA